GACGAACGCUGGCGGCGUGCUUAACACAUGCAAGUCGAACGGUGAAGGUGGAGCUUGCUCCGCCGGAUCAGUGGCGAACGGGUGAGUAACACGUGGGCAACCUGCCCCAGACUUCGGGAUAACUCCUCGAAAGAGGCGCUAAUACCGGAUACGAGUUCUGCAGGCAUCUGCGGAAUUGGAAAGGUUUUCGGUCAGGGAUGGGCGCGCGGCCUAUCAGCGUGUUGGUGAGGUAGUGGCUCACCAAGGCGACGACGGGUAGCCGGCCUGAGCGGGCGCCCGGCCACACUGGGACUGAGACACGGCCCGGACUCCUACGGGAGGCAGCAGUGGGGCAUAUUGCGCAAUGGGCGAAAGCCUGACACAGCCACGCCGCGUGAGGGAUGACGGCCUUCGGGUUGUAAACCUCUUUCAGCAGGGAAGAAGCGAAAGUGACGGUACCUGCAGAAGAAGCACCGGCUAACUACGUGCCAGCCGCCGCAGUAA
rnacentral:rRNA from 1 species